GAACGAACGCUGGCGGCAGGCCUAACACAUGCAAGUCGAGCGCGCCUUCGGGUGAGCGGCGGACGGGUGAGUAACGCGUGGGAAUAUGCCCUUCUCUACGGAAUAGUCCUGGGAAACUGGGGGUAAUACCGUAUACGCCCUUUGGGGGAAAGAUUUAUCGGGGAAGGAUUAGCCCGCGUUGGAUUAGGUAGUUGGUGGGGUAAUGGCCUACCAAGCCGACGAUCCAUAGCUGGUUUGAGAGGAUGAUCAGCCACACUGGGACUGAGACACGGCCCAGACUCCUACGGGAGGCAGCAGUGGGGAAUCUUAGACAAUGGGGGCAACCCUGAUCUAGCCAUGCCGCGUGAGUGAUGAAGGCCUUAGGGUUGUAAAGCUCUUUCAGCUGGGAAGAUAAUGACGGUACCAGCAGAAGAAGCCCCGGCUAACUCCGUG
rnacentral:rRNA from 1 species